rnacentral:rRNA from 1 species
UACGAAGGGGGGCUAGCGUUGCUCGGAAUCACUGGGCGUAAAGCGCACGUAGGCGGCUUUUUAAGUCAGGGGUGAAAUCCUGGAGCUCAACUCCAGAACUGCCUUUGAUACUGAGGAUCUUGAGUUCGGGAGAGGUGAGUGGAACUGCGAGUGUAGAGGUGAAAUUCGUAGAUAUUGGGAAGAACACCGAUGGCGAAGGCAGCCAUCUGGACCGACACUGACGCUGAGGCGCGAAAGCGUGGGGAGCAAACAGG